GGAGAGAUGUCAGAGUGGUUGAAUGAGCACGAUUGGAAAUCGUGUUUACCGAAAGGUAACGCAGGUUCAAAUCCUGUUCUCUCCGCCA
rnacentral:tRNA from 1 species